rnacentral:lncRNA from 1 species
UCCAGUCUUUUAAUCAUCUCCGCAAGAUCUUGACCAUUCGAUUGAUACACUUUUCUCUAAAUAUGAUUGAAAUUUGCAAACUGUACUUUGAUUUUAAGCAAAAAUUUAACCUUUGUUGUGAUUUCAGCGAUCUGCUUUGAUUGCAUGAUUUGUCCUCGAUUUUAAUUGGGACCUCAAGAGUAGAGCUAUAAUACCUCAACUCCGCCUCCACCACAAUUCAUGACAGCUGCAGAAAUGGGGUUUUUGUGUGGUUGAAAUUUUGUUGACAUGACUUAAAUGAUCUCAACUGCAUGGCGACAAAAUAAAAGAUUUAAUUUUCAUCAAUACUCUGUUCUUUU